rnacentral:lncRNA from 1 species
AAUGAACUCAUCCUAGAUUGUGGAGCAGAGGAGCACUUCUGCACGUGGCAGGAGGGGAUGUGUGGCGGAGAGAGAAGCGAGGAAGCAGGACCGAGCUCCUGGGAAGGUUGGCUGGAGAUGCUGUACGCCUCUCUGCUUUGCCCAGAGCUCCUGGGAGACCUUGGGGGGAGCAAUGCACAUGGCUUGGAGUAGGUCAGGUCUGGGUGAUGAGGUGAACAAAAGGGGCCCAGACAUCCAGAACAGCCACUGGAAAUAUCAGAGAAGUCAGCCUGUGCCAGGGACGACUGUUUUCUUCCCCAGCACACUGCACCUCUGUGCUUUCCAUGUGGAGAUCAGGCUGUCCCUCUGCCACCAGCCUGCCCCAGGGCGAUGCCGAUGCCUCAGCAGCAGACUUCCCAUCCAGCCAUCCCGCAGUCCCAACGGGCUCCGUGAAGGUGAACUGCUGCCCUCACCUUCCCAGCCUGUCCCUCCUGAGGAGCUGAGCCCACCCAUGGCAGCACGUCAGCAGUGUCAGAGACCCCAGCGUGUCCCCCGAUCCCAAUGCGGCCACGGCUCUGCAGCUGUGCAGACCCCAGACCCCUCCUGACUGGGCUAGACUGGGAAGGAAGGAGCAAGGCUGCUUCUGCAAGGCGUGAGGUUCAAUAGUCAAAGCCCCUUCCACCAGCUAGCUGUUACUUAGCUCAGGUCUCGGCUGUCACUCAGCGUGUCCAUGCAGCAUGCUUCACAGCUGGCAUCCCUGGGGGAAGAGCCGUUCUCUGCCACAGAACCAGCUCUUCCCCUUGUCCUUCCUUACCCCUGAUGGCUCCUGGACCCCGCCGGUCUUUGCUCUUCUUGUGCUGAGUGACAUUCUUCACUCCAGCUUUACACUAGCAGAAGGAAGCAGGGACAAUUUUCCAGCUCUCUCAG